CCUACGGGAGGCAGCAGUGGGGAAUAUUGGGCAAUGGGCGCAAGCCUGACCCAGCAACGCCGCGUGAAGGAAGAAGGCUUUCGGGUUGUAAACUUCUUUUCUCAGGGACGAAGCAAGUGACGGUACCUGAGGAAUAAGCCACGGCUAACUACGGGCCAGCAGCCGCGGUAAUACGUAGGUGGCAAGCGUUAUCCGGAUUUACUGGGUGUAAAGGGCGUGUAGGCGGGAAAGCAAGUCAGAUGUGAAAACCACGGGCUCAACCUGUGGCCUGCCUUUGAAACGGUUUUUCUUGAGUACUGGAUAGGCAGCCGCACUUCCUCGUGUAGCGGUGACAUGCGUAGAUCUUAGG
rnacentral:rRNA from 1 species